UCACUAUAAGGGCAAAAUAUUUGAAAAAAUAUGACGCAAAGCUACAGGGGCUUAUGCUUACAGCAAUGCUAGCCAGCUGCCGAA
rnacentral:ncRNA from 1 species